rnacentral:rRNA from 1 species
UACGGAGGGGGCGAGCGUUAUUCGGAAUUACUGGGCGUAAAGCGCGCGCAGGUGGCGUAGUAAGUGGUUGGUGAAAGCCCUCGGCUCAACCGAGGAAUUGCCUGCCAAACUACUGCGCUUGAGGCCGGGAGGGGAGAGCGGAAUUCCUGGUGUAGCGGUGAAAUGCGUAGAUACCAGGAGGAACACCGGUGGCGAAGGCGGCUCUCUGGACCGGUUCUGACGCUCAUGCGCGAAAGCGUGGGGAGCAAACAGG